ensembl:lncRNA
AGCCCAGAGUUAAGUCCAGGCGCACCUCUCGCUUGCCUUCUUUUAGGGUCCAAAUCCCAAAGAACACUCAUGUUUUUAUCUCCAGAAAGACAAUGAUUUCUUCCCCUAAUCUUAGCAAAAAAAUCUAAACCGUCAAAUCCCUGCCCUGGAUAUAUCAGUGCUAGUAAGAGGUCUGGUCAGAUAAGCUGUUGAAGACCUAAAUUUUAGGAUUGACAAAGUAGUAAAAUCGCAGUUCAAAUGCAUUCAAGAAUUCCCAUACAGCACAGAUAUGGUGUAGAGAGAGAGAGAGAGUGAGUGAGUGAGUGAGUGAGUGAGUGAGUGAGUGAGUGAGUGAGUGAGUGAGUGAGUGAGUGAGUGAGUGAGUGAAAGUGAGUGAGUGAGUGACUGACUGACUGACUGACUGACUGACUGACUCACUGACUCACUGACUGACUGAGUGUGUAAGUGAGAUAGUGUUUAGAGGGGUGGGUGAUCAAGCGGAUCACCCUUGGUUUGAGAGAUAUUGCUGCAAAAUACAUGCAUGACAUCAUUAUUGCUGAAUUCCACUGUGCGAUUUAAAUCCACCAGAUCUCUGAACUAUGGUUGUAAUACAUCUAGGUCACAGUUAAGGAUGACAAACAACAGAGUUAAAGAAAAGAAUGCUAAAGUUUUUGUACACUGCGUAAUCAUUUUGUAAACAAAGUGAUUAAGAACAGGCUACUAUUUCAUGAUUUAUGUUAUUAUAAUUCAGUAACCCAUCUGUUUGAAAUAAAACAAUCUGGAAAUGGUCGGUAUGAAAUAUGGAUAGUCUGUAGGCAACAUAUCUACUCUGGAUACACAGCUAUGUGCAGAUCUCAAUACUAUAUUCAUCCCGCCACCUGUGGCUUACCUGCGGACGGAGGCGCGCUGAGACACAUGCACAAAGCAUUCUACUAUUUGUGGCCGAGGAUGAAACAAGACUGAAAUUAUGAAAUUAUAACUUAAUUCUCGAAGGAAUUUCGAAGUUAUUUUCAAAUACAUAGUCACAUAGAUCCAAUUUCCUAUUUCAAGAAAAUAUAUCGCGUGGCCAACAUCUCAAAAUAACACCAAAAAAAAAACACGGUUUCAAACUGUUUUUUUCCUCAAAACGAAUUUCCAUCCAAUGAACAAUAAUACCCAAACUACUUGGUUGAAAUAGAAGCAUACCUUUCGAUUACGGGUUUUGAUUGUCCUCAGAUGACCGACUCGACACAAAAACUCCUCACAAGUAACGCCGCGUCUCUUUCUCGACGUGCUGUCUUCCACCGACAGGGCCUCGCUCUGUUGUUUUGACGUGCUGAGGAGCACGGGCGCACCAGGGAGCUAUAAAGCUUUGGGGGGCGUGCGGCCCGGCCCACUUUCUCUUGCAGGCACGUG